rnacentral:rRNA from 1 species
GACGAACGCUGGCGGCGUGCCUAAUACAUGCAAGUCGAACGCAGUGGGGACGGGUGAGUAACACGUGGGUAACCUCCCAUCAGAGGGGAUAACACUUGGAAACAGGUGCUAAACCGAUACUGAUGGAUGGACCCGCGGUGCAUUAGCUAGUUGGUGAGGUAACGGCUCACCAAGGCCACGAUGCAUAGCGGACCUGUGCGGGUGAUCGGCCACGCGAGUACUGGAACACGUCCCAUGCCCCUACGGGAGGCAGCAGUAGGGAAUCUUCGGCAAUGGAUGAAAGUCUGACCGAGCAACGCCGCGUGAGUGAAGAAGGUUUUCGGAUCGUAAAACUCUGUUGUUAGGGAAGCGGUAUCUAACCAGAAAGCCACGGCUAACGCCGUGCCAGCAGCCGCGGUAAUUC